UACGGAGGAUCCGAGCGUUAUCCGGAUUUAUUGGGUUUAAAGGGUGCGUAGGUGGCCUAUUAAGUCAGUGGUGAAAGUUUGCGGCUUAACCGUAAAAUUGCCAUUGAUACUGAUGGGCUUGAGUGCAGAUGAGGUAGGCGGAAUGUGUCAUGUAGCGGUGAAAUGCAUAGAUAUGACACAGAACACCGAUUGCGAAGGCAGCUUACUAAACUGUAACUGACACUGAGGCACGAAAGCGUGGGGAUCAAACAGG
rnacentral:rRNA from 1 species